GCACCCGCACAGCAAGGAGGCUGAAAAGAGGUGAAAAAACUCCCUUCUGAAUUGAAAUCACAGACCUGUGACCUGCAUGCUCUCCUAAAUGGGAAGGGGUGAGGAGCGCUGUGGGAAAGGCUCCUCCUUGGCAAGGAAAGGGAUGAUUUCUCCGGAGUUCACCGGACUCCCCCUUUCCCCAGCGCCAAGCAUCCGGGUGAGUGUUUUGCAAUGGGGUCUGUCACCAUCAGGAACCGAGGAGAGUUUAGACUCUGCAUUUACUACACCAGACCCACAAAGCACCACCUGUGCUCUCAGUCUCAGGAGAAACAGCCUCUUUCACUUUUCAAAUCAAUCUUCUGUGCAUGUAUUUACUAUAAUGUUACAGCACCAUUGGUUCCAGCUUUAAAUCACGAAGAUAUGCUCUACUUAACGACUUUAGUUGAAGCAGCACACAGCCACAUGGGAAAUACCAUUUAGAGGCCAAUCAUCUCUUUCCCAGAAAAUCUCUGGGGACAGGGGCAGGGGAGGGAGAGAGGGAGCUGAGAAGCCUUGAUGUGCAAGUUCAAUUUCUACAGGUGAACACCAGCGGCCUCGGCAAUGCUAGGUUGUUAGGAAUUCGGCCUUACUUCUUUUCAUCUCUGUGGUUUACUAACUGGCUCUCAAAGGCGUAUGACUGCGGUGCCCCACUGCACGCACGCAGCAGAGGGCAUGACAGGGUUCAUUGGAGAAGCUGGCUCCCGCAGGGCUGCUGGGCUGACCUCUUUCAGCUGGAGAAAGCCAUAAGCGCUCACUAACCUGCCGUGCUCACCAUGAACUUCCACUUGACCACAUAGGCAUCCCCCUCGUGGAACUGCCCGAUGCUUUGUUUGGGGAGCCUGCUAUAGUCAAAUUCCAGGAUGUACCAGACAUCCACGGAGACACUGGUGAUCUCAAACUGCCUCCUGUGGUGUCCUUCCACCAGGCCACAGCCACAGCCAAUGUUCACCCUGUCCAGGAUGGCACCUGCUGUCGUCUGGGGCACGGACACCAUCCGUGUCACGUUGUUCCGCUUGACAUCGGCCCUGGAGUCUUCCUAUAGGGGAACAUGAAGACAUCGGUUCAGUUGCCUGUUUCCGCAGCUAUUCCUUGUCACACUCAACGCUGCUUCAGCUGUUCAUGGGACAGCAUAAAAAUACACCUUCCACACUCUGUCUCAGGAUGUUUAACUGCAGUCAGGGAAAGGCUGCAUUUUCAGAAAGACUCUGGCAGGUCUGAACACCCAUUGGCCACACUGGUGCAUGGGGUGCCUGAAAACAGGUGCAAACCCGACUCUUCACCUCCCAGAGUCAGAUUAGAAUUGGAGGCCAGUCUGCUGUUCUAUUAGUGAAUCCUGGGAAGGCCUCUUAGCUUUAAGGGGUGUGUGUGUGUGUGUGUGUAUGUGUGUCCAUUUUUUUUAAUUAAAAAAGUAUUUUAGUUGACACAUUAUUAUGGAUAUGAUUUGAUGUGUUGAUAAAUGCAUCUGUUUCAUGGGGAAGGGGGUGUGGGAAGGAGACGGGACAGGGAGGAUAGGGAGAUGUUGGCCAACAGGUACAAAAUGACAAUCAGAGAGGAGGAAUGAGCUCUGGUUUUCUCCUGCACAGUGGGGUGACUGUUUUCCAAUACUGUAUUGCAUAUUUCAAAAUAGCUAGAAGAGAAGAUUUGAAUGUUCUCACCACAAAGAAAUGAUACAUCUGGGGUGACAGCCAUGCGAACUAUCCUGAUUUGAUCAUUUUACAUCAAGGCCACUUUUGUUGGGACCCGAACCAAGCCCUGAGGUUUGAGACUUGGUCACUGGAAUACCUUGUGCUGGGCAAGUUCCCCGGGGUUCUUCUCAUUUGGUCUUUUCAGUUCUGUCCAAUCCAGAAACUUUUCUUUGAACAAAAUCGUCUCAUUGUGUUCAGUAAGUCUCCCAAAUAUCGCCCAGUCGGGCCGCCCCUGUCCUUUUCUGUAGGGUGGGAAGGGGGUUGGGAGAACAGACAGGAAAAGAACCAAGAUGAAGCCAAGCUUAAACAAAGGAAUCUAAAACACAUGCGGCUGCUGGAAAAAACCUCAAAACCCAUCUUCGGUUGUGAAUCUGGCCUGGGAUGCAGCCACCUCUUAGAGCAACCCCCGCUGCUGCUUGUGCCCUGCUGUGCUACUGCCUCAGUCACUUCCUGCUUGGUCAAGACCACAGCUGCUGAUGUCACAGCUGAGGCACAUCAAAAAGGCUGCCUGAUUCAAAGAAAGCUGCCGGAUAAAUCAUAGAGCACAGACACUUCUACCUCAUGCUCUUAUGGGACUUUAGGAACCAAACAUAAGCACCUAUGGAAAAUGCACGGUGGUCUUGAAAGGCUGUGUGGUCUUUAUCAGAAAAUAUCUGAAUGACUGUCUCUUAUGUCAGUCCUACUCUGCAGGCUUGCUAAGAUGAUAAUUGAAAGGGCUUUUGGUUUCUGCUUUAGAAUCUGUCACUUAUGUUUUGAAGCGUUGUGAGCAAGCGAUGCAGCAGAUUGCAGGGUGAGGGGGAUGAACCUGGGCCAGAAGCCAGAUGUGUUUCUCCACGCACUGCCCUGACCUACAGCCGGAACUGGGCUCAGUGGUUUCAGCCUCAUUUGCUAAGAAGGGCUGGGUGCGUAAUCUUGGCUGCACCUUAAAAUCCCUGGGAGCUUUUAAGACAUAUUGACACAUAAACUGUAACUCACAUGAAACGAAAACACAUCUCUGGGGCUGGGCUGAGCAAAUGCCUUUUUUUUAAAGGCCCCUCAGGUGAUUCUGUCUCAGAGAUGUUGAAAACCAGUGGGUUAGGAGCUCAGUCAUCUACUUUCAGAUCUGUGAUUAUGCCACUAUUAAAUACAGUUGGCUAUCACAUAGAUUUUUAUGCUUUAGCUUGUUUUUUUUUCUCUGCUAUACCAAAUAAAAUCUUUUGAGCUGUUGUAGUUCCAGUCCUUAAAACAACAGUUGUUACCAUACUGAGGUUAAACAUUAGUGCAUUUGCUUAACAAGGACAUUAAAACUUCUUACCACACUGACAUAAUUUUAAUGAUUUCUAUAAUAAUUAAUAAGAAAAUCAAUAAUUGGAUUUUAAAGCAGGAAACUAGGCAGGAAAGUUGAAAUUCAUAUACCAGUUCAAUGGAAAACAUUAAAAUGUAGUUGUGUGAUGCCCAAUAUUCUAUGCUGUUUGUUGGUUCAUUGGUUUCUCAUCUAUUGUAACAGCACCCAUAGUUAAAAAGCACUACUUUUUUUGGUCUGAUAGUUAAAAAGACAACAACAAUCCUUUGCAUGUAAGAAUUUUUUUCUCAUAAUCACAAUUUUAGAGUUUGCACAUAUUCUAUUCAAUUUCAAAAAUAACUUUAAAGAGUCUAGUACCUGCAGGGAAUAUUACAAUUGCAAUCAUUGUUUUAAUACCAUCUCCUCUCCCUCUUCCCUUCCCAAAAGGUAUAAAGACAUAAACAUCAUCUGCUGCCAAAUAAAUCCUGGAAUUCGAGGGCGAUGCUGGGAAGCAGCACUUGGAAUGCCGCAGGGAGGAACUUGCAGCAUUUCUUGCUCACUUCAAGAAAUCAACUAUAACAAACCUCUUCUGGAAGACGACAGCAUCCAUAUUUCUAUAAUAGUUAGAUAAAAGUUAAAGAACUGUUCCUUUUGUGAAUAUUCACAGUCCACUGCAUAUAAUCGUUUAUGAAAACUGAACCCUAUAAAGAGCGAGAGUAGAGGACUGUGGUGAGAACAGAGGGAUCGAAGGGAAUCAGCUCGCUCAGGGAGCCGUCCCAAGGUGGGGGCAGUAGUACCUGCGGAUAAGCGGAUUGCAUUCUCCAGGAUCCAGGGGAUUAAUGUCACAGUUCUCAUAGUCAAAGGUUCCAUUCCAUAAGUGCUUUGCCAGCUGAAAUUCUAUUUUUCGUUGUGCUAACGUGACUUCUUUCCCAUGCCAUACGUAAACUUCACUACCAAAAUCAAACACCAGUACCUGGGAGAAAUGGCACAAAAGAAUUUGUUAACUUCAAGAACAUGCAACAGUUGAAUCAGGUGCAACAGGGUCUCUGUUGACAGUGAGUCAAACGGAGGAAGACAGAAAUCCUAAUGGGGUGACCAGCACAGACACAAAAAGGCCAGGAGAUCUCAGCUGGCACUGCCCCACCGAGCCAGCCUCUGCCCUGUGGGCACGAUUCCUCCUCCCAGUGUCCUAAGUGGCCAGGAUAAUGUUCCCUCCUCUGAACUCUCAACCUGCUUACAACUUGCGAUUCACAAGAGUUCUUUAGGUACAUCUUCCUGUCGACUUCCUGCCUCUCUCCCCUAUUCCUCCCCCUCUCAUGUGCUCGUUCAUUCACUUAAUAUAUACACAGAGGCCACUUCAUAUACCCCAGGCACUCAUGGUCCAAUGGUGUCUUCUCUCCAGUACACAAUUCCAAGAUCCUUAAGGGCAGGGAUCAGAUCAUGGUGAUACAUACAGGAGGGGUUGAUUACUAAGUGUUUGCUGAAUGAAUACAUGAAUGUAAUGCUAUUUCUUACGUUCAUAGUUUGUUUUAUUCUUUCUCUUAGAAUGAUUUCUCCCUUCACUUCCAGCAAUUCAAAUUUUGCUUAACUCUAAACUUGGCUCAAUUUCACUUUCUAUUGAAAAUUAUUCCUGAUGAUUCCUGUAUUUAUUUUUCUGUGACGUUUCCCCCAUGUAAAAGACCAUACAUAUCACACAGUCAACCUUGCUCCAGAUUACAUUCCUUCUAAUACUCUUCCGCCCAAUUAAACUUAAGGGCCUUGCGUGUCUUCCACUUUCUUAAUACUUAGCAUACUUAACGGUACUGGAAAAGUAUAUAAUUAAUAAAUAUUUACUGGCAUGACAGGACAAAAACAGCACAUUAAUUGGCAAAUCCAUAAAUUAUAUAUAUGUAUAUGCAUCUAUUAUUCCUCAAACUUAAGGACUGAAAAAUAUUCCAUUAAUAUUUAUACAAAAUGCAACAGAUAGGACUAAGUAACAUUUACAUUUUGCCUAUGAUGCUGUCAAUGAUCCAUGCCACCUCUGAACAAUAUUCUGG
rnacentral:lncRNA from 1 species